rnacentral:rRNA from 1 species
GAUGAACGCUGGCGGCGUGCCUAAUACAUGCAAGUCGAGCGAACGGACGAGAAGCUUGCUUCUCUGAUGUUAGCGGCGGACGGGUGAGUAACACGUGGAUAACCUACCUAUAAGACUGGGAUAACUUCGGGAAACCGGAGCUAAUACCGGAUAAUAUUUUGAUCUGCAUGGUUCAAAAGUAAAAGACGGUCUUGCUGUCACUUAUAGAUGGAUCCGCGCUGCAUUAGCUAGUUGGUAAGGUAACGGCUUACCAAGGCAACGAUGCAUAGCCGACCUGAGAGGGUGAUCGGCCACACUGGAACUGAGACACGGUCCAGACUCCUACGGGAGGCAGCAGUAGGGAAUCUUCCGCAAUGGGCGAAAGCCUGACGGAGCAACGCCGCGUGAGUGAUGAAGGUCUUCGGAUCGUAAAACUCUGUUAUUAGGGAAGAACAUAUGUGUAAGUAACUGUGCACAUCUUGACGGUACCUAAUCAGAAAGCCACGGCUAACUACGUGCCAGCAGCCGCGGUAAUACGUAGGUGGCAAGCGUUAUCCGGAAUUAUUGGGCGUAAAGCGCGCGUAGGCGGUUUUUUAAGUCUGAUGUGAAAGCCCACGGCUCAACCGUGGAGGGUCAUUGGAAACUGGAAAACUUGAGUGCAGAAGAGGAAAGUGGAAUUCCAUGUGUAGCGGUGAAAUGCGCAGAGAUAUGGAGGAACACCAGUGGCGAAGGCGACUUUCUGGUCUGUAACUGACGCUGAUGUGCGAAAGCGUGGGGAUCAAACAGGAUUAGAUACACUGGUAGUCCACGCCGUAAACGAUGAGUGCUAAGUGUUAGGGGGUUUCCGCCCCUUAGUGCUGCAGCUAACGCAUUAAGCACUCCGCCUGGGGAGUACGACCGCAAGGUUGAAACUCAAAGGAAUUGACGGGGACCCGCACAAGCGGUGGAGCAUGUGGUUUAAUUCGAAGCAACGCGAAGAACCUUACCAAAUCUUGACAUCCUUUGACAACUCUAGAGAUAGAGCCUUCCCCUUCGGGGGACAAAGUGACAGGUGGUGCAUGGUUGUCGUCAGCUCGUGUCGUGAGAUGUUGGGUUAAGUCCCGCAACGAGCGCAACCCUUAAGCUUAGUUGCCAUCAUUAAGUUGGGCACUCUAAGUUGACUGCCGGUGACAAACCGGAGGAAGGUGGGGAUGACGUCAAAUCAUCAUGCCCCUUAUGAUUUGGGCUACACACGUGCUACAAUGGACAAUACAAAGGGCAGCGAAACCGCGAGGUCAAGCAAAUCCCAUAAAGUUGUUCUCAGUUCGGAUUGUAGUCUGCAACUCGACUACAUGAAGCUGGAAUCGCUAGUAAUCGUAGAUCAGCAUGCUACGGUGAAUACGUUCCCGGGUCU